CCGUAGCGGUGGCCCUGUCUAAAUAAGGAUGACGUCGAGUUUGGAGCAAGAUCAUGACGCGCGGAUUUGAUCAAUUCCGGUCAAACCGCAUGGUGAUCGAAGCUUUAACAGCUUUAACUUAAUACCAGUGAUGGCGACGAUGAUGCCGCCAGCCGUGGUGAUGGUGCCAGCCGUGAUGGCGGCGCCAACCGUGGUGACGAUGCCAGCGGUGGUGAUGAUGCCGACGCCAAUGAACUUGCGUCGUCAUGGGCUCGGAUGCCUGCCUGGCGGAUGAACUCGCAGCCGGAUUCAUCAGCGACAGCGCCUGCGCGCCGCCCGUGGGCACCGCAACCGCGAGCAGCCCGGCGACGGCUGCGAGACCAAAAAUCGUUCUGACAUUCAUCUUCAUGAACACUCUCUCCUCAUGAUCUGGAACGAAUUCCGGCGCGUG
rnacentral:misc_RNA from 1 species